GUGCCAGCAGCCGCGGUAAGACAGAGGGUGCAAACGUUGCUCGGAAUCACUGGGCGUAAAGGGCGUGUAGGCGGGAAGGAAAGUCAGAUGUGAAAUCCCCAGGCUCAACCUGGGAACUGCAUUUGAAACUCCCUUUCUUGAGUACCGGAGAGGAAAGUGGAAUUCCUGGUGUAGAGGUGAAAUUCGUAGAUAUCAGGAGGAACACCAGUGGCGAAGGCGGCUUUCUGGACGGUAACUGACGCUGAGACGCGAAAGCGUGGGGAGCAAACAGGAUUAGAAACCCUCGUAGUCC
rnacentral:rRNA from 1 species